rnacentral:rRNA from 1 species
GUGGGGAAUAUUGCGCAAUGGGGGAAACCCUGACGCAGCGACGCCGUGUGAGGGAAGAAGGCUUUCGGGUCGUAAACCUCUGUCAGAAAGGAAGAACCUCCCAUAUCCGAAUAGGGUGUGGGACUGACGGUACUUUCAAAGGAAGCACCGGCUAACUCCGUGCCAGCAGCCGCGGUAAUACGGAGGGUGCUAGCGUUAAUCGGAAUCACUGGGCGUAAAGCGCGCGUAGGCCGCUUCUUAAGUCGGACGUGAAAGCCCUCGGCUCAACCGGGGAACUGCGUUCGAUACUGGGAGGCUUGAGUCCUGGAGAGGGUGGCGGAAUUCCGGGUGUAGGAGUGAAAUCCGUAGAUAUCCGGAGGAACACCGGUGGCGAAGGCGGCCACCUGGACAGGUACUGACGCUGAGGCGCGAAAGCGUGGGGAGCAAACAGGAUUAGAUACCCUAGUAGUCC